rnacentral:rRNA from 1 species
GUAAAAAAUAUUUAAAAUAAAUAGAAUUUUUUUAGUAAUAGUGAAAUGUUAUUAUAAGGAAAAGAAUUCUUUAUGUGAAAAUAAUUUAUUUUUUUUUUCUUAAGCACGAGGGUUUUGGGAGUAAACAGGAUUAAAGACCCUGGUAAUCAAUACAGUAAAAAAAAUCGCUUGAGUAGUACGGUCGCAAGAUUAAAAUUCAAAAAAUUUGGCUGUUCAUUGUUAUUUAAAGGAGCGUGUCGUUUAAUUCGAUAAUCCGCGAAUUACCUUACCAAGACUUGGUUUUCCG